rnacentral:misc_RNA from 1 species
CCGAGUUAUACAACUCAUCAACCCUGUGAACAUACCUAAAACGUUGCUUCGGCGGGAACAGACGGCCCUGUAACAACGGGCCGCCCCCGCCAGAGGACCCCUAACUCUGUUUUUAUAAUGUUUUUCUGAGUAAACAAGCGAAUAAAUUA